ACAUAUCAUAGCGGAGGAAAAGAAACCAACAGGGAUUGCCUCAGUAACGGCGAGUGAAGCGGCAACAGCUCAAAUUUGAAAUCUGGCUCUUUCAGGGUCCGAGUUGUAAUUUGUAGAGGAUGUUUCGGGUGUGGCUCCGGUCUAAGUUCCUUGGAACAGGACGUCAUAGAGGGUGAGAAUCCCGUAUGUGACUGGUAGCCUAUGCCCAUGUGAAACUCCUUCGACGAGUCGAGUUGUUUGGGAAUGCAGCUCAAAAUGGGUGGUAAAUUUCAUCUAAAGCUAAAUAUUGGCCAGAGACCGAUAGCGCACAAGUAGAGUGAUCGAAAGAUGAAAAGCACUUUGGAAAGAGAGUUAAACAGUACGUGAAAUUGUUGAAAGGGAAGCGCUUGCAACCAGACUUGCAUGUAGCUGAUCAACCGGUGUUCUCACCGGUGCACUCAGUUGCGUUCAGGCCAGCAUCGGUUUCGACGGUUGGAUAAAGGCCUUGGGAAUGUAGCUCCUUUCGGGGAGUGUUAUAGCCCAGGGUGCAAUGCAGCCUGUCGGGACCGAGGACCGCGCUUCGGCUAGGAUGCUGGCGUAAUGGUUGUAAGCGACCCGUCUUGAAACACGGACCAAGGAGUCUAACAUCUAUGCGAGUGUUUGGGUGUCAAACCCAUACGCGUAAUGAAAGUGAACGGAGGUGAGAACCCUUAAGGGUGCAUCAUCGACCGAUCCUGAUGUCUUCGGAUGGAUUUGAGUAAGAGCAUAGCUGUUGGGACCCGAAAGAUGGUGAACUAUGCCUGAAUAGGGUGAAGC
rnacentral:rRNA from 1 species